UACGUAGGGGGCAAGCGUUGUCCGGAAUCAUUGGGCGUAAAGCGCGCGUAGGCGGCCCGGUAAGUCCGCUCUGAAAGUCCAGGGCUCAACCCUGGAAAGCGGGUGGAUACUGCCGGGCUAGAAUCCGGAAGAGGCGAGUGGAAUUCCUGGUGUAGCGGUGGAAUGCGCAGAUAUCAGGAGGAACACCAAUAGCGAAGGCAGCUCGCUGGGACGGUAAUUGACGCUAAGGGCGGCGAAAAGCGGUGGGGA
rnacentral:rRNA from 1 species